AUGGACACUGAGCUGCCUUUCACUGUUGCCAUCUAUUCUGCUCACUUGACUUAUAUGGGUCCAGAGAGACCCCCAUCUGACCAGCUCACUUUGACUCUGUUGUCUCGUUGUUGACCCUUCUGACACUCACUCAACAUUGUUCAUCUUUCCACUGUUCUGAUCCACUUUCCACUGUUCUUUCCACUGUGUCUUAGAUUGUUUAAUGUUGCUAUAAUAGAAUACCCAAGACUGGCUAAUUUAUAAAGAAAAGAAAUUAUUAUGGCUUAGUUCUGGAAUAUAUGUCCCCUAAAAGCUCAUAUAUUGAAGGCUUAGUCCCCAGUGCAGCAAUGUCCAGAGGUGGGGCUUUGGGGAAGUGAUUGUCACAGUGAUUGUCACAAGAGUUCUGACCACCUCAGUGGAUUAGUUCAUUGAUUGCUGAAUGGAUUACUGGGAGGUGAUGGAAACUGCAGUGGGGGGGAGGGGGGGCAUGGUUGGAUGUAGGUCACAGGGGCCAUACUCUUAGUGACUAUAUCUUAUCCUUGGCCCCUUCUUCUCUCUCUCUGCCUCCCAGAUUCCAUGAGCUGAGCAACUUUCCUCUGAAAUACUGGUCUGCCUCACCUCAGUCUCAGAACAAUGGAGGCAGGGGAUCAUGGGUUGAAACCUCUGGUACUGUGAGCCCACCUCCAAGCUGUUUGUGCCAGGUAUUUUGGACACAGCAACAAAAAGCUGACUAACACAGUUUAUUCACAGUUCUGGAGGCAGGGAAGUUCAAGAUCUGGUGGUUUUACCUGGAAAGGGCCUCGUGCUGUGUUGUGACAUGGCACAUGGCACCACUGGAAGGCCUAUCUAUGUGAGUUAGAAUAAGAGGGCUAACACCUGUGACAGCUAACCCAUUUCCACAAAGAAAAGUUCGUCCAUUCAUGAGGGUGGAUCCCUCAUGACCCCAAGUGCCUAUUAAAGUCCCCAUAACCUCUCAACACUGACCCUGGGAACAAGCUCCAACAUGAGUUUUGGUGGAGAAAAACCUUAUUCAAAUCAUAGCACCCCACGUCCCCCAUGGCAUGCAGGGAGUUUUGGACUAUUCCAUGUCCCACAGGAAUAACAGAAGCUCAGGAGCCAUACUGCUAUGGCUCCCCAUGCUGGCACAAGGCUAUCAGGUAUAGCCACCUCCUCCUUGGGCUCUGAGUGAGGCAUGGGCUCAGCCUUGUAUGCUUGAUACCUCUCCUUCAGUUCCUCAGUGCACUGCCCUCCCGGAGCCAGGUGAGGAACGAGCAGGACACAUGAGUCUUAGGCUCACUUCCCCAUCUUAUUCCUUUCUGGACCACAGGGUUGGGCUUUCUCUCCGCUCCUGGGGUCUAAGUAUUCCUGUAGGAUAUGGAUUCUGAGACCUCUCUAGACUGGACUUAAGAGUAAAUUCAAUAUUUUUAGAUAUACCACAUUUUCUUUAUCCAGGCAUCCAUUGAUAGAGAUGUAGGUGGCUUCUAUAUCUGGACUAUCAUGAACAGUGCUUCCAUGAACAUGGGAGUAGAGGUAUCACCAAGAUUCUCAUCUCUCUUCCUUUGAAUAUAUACCCAGAAGUAAGGAUUUUACUCAGCUUUGAAAAGGAGGAACCCCUGACGUUUGCAGCAAUAUGAACGAAGCUGGAACAUUAUGCUAAGUGAAAAAAAAGCCAGGCAAAGAAAACUACUGCAUUACCUCACUCAUAUGUAGAAUCUAAAAUAAUCAGACUCAAAAUCAGAGAGUAGAAGCUGGAGGAAGAUGGAAAUGCAGAAAUGUUGAUCGAGGGGUACAAAAUUUCAGUUAUGGAAAAUGAAGAAGUUCUGAGACUCAAUAUGUAGCAUGGCGACUAUAGUUGAUAAUACUGAUCCAUGAGCUUGAAAUGAAAUUUGCUAAGGGGGUAGCUUCUUCUUCUUCUUUUUUUUUUUGGUGAUACUGGGGAUUGAAUCCAGAGCCUUGAACAAGCUAGGCAAGUGCUCUAUCAUUGGAUUACAUCCCCAGACCUAAUGGGAUGUCUCCUAAAUGCACACACACAUACACCACAAAGUAAAAAAAGAAAAAGAAACAAAUGGUAACUAUUAUAUAAUGUAUAUGUUAAUUAUCUUGAUUACUGUGAUGAUUUCAUAAUAUACAUAUAUCAAAACAUCAAGUACUAUGCCUUAAAUAUAUAUAGUUUUUAUCAUUUCUACCAUAAUAAAACUGAAGAAUAUCAAUGUUUACCCCCAAUAGGCCUGGCUCUUGAUAUGUUACUAGUAUUUUAAGGAAUUUUUUUAAAAUGCUGUCAAUAAAAUGCUAUUUGAAGACUAAUAUUAUUAAGGACUGAGAAAUCCUAUUUUGGUAAUCAAAUCAUAAAAUUUGAACUUCUUUGCUCCAUUUUCCUGUUGAAUAAAAAUUCCCUUCUCACUACCAUUCUUGACAUAGAUGCUCAUUGUUGGCUGAACUGGGAGAAAUCAUGUACAUGGAAAUGUGAAAAAGAAAAACAAAAAAUAUUACUUCUGCGGCAAACCUCCUAAAGGUGGGAAAGGGAGCAAACUCUGAGAAAUGGAAAGCCCGAGGCUUUGUACAGAUGCACGGGGGUGACAGAUGAGUCAAAAAUGACUUCUGGACUUAGACUUAG
rnacentral:lncRNA from 1 species